rnacentral:rRNA from 1 species
AACGUAGGAGACAAACGUUAUCCGGAGUUACUGGGCGUAAAGGGCGUGUAGGUGGUAAUGUAAGUCUGGCGUGAAAUUUUUCGGCUUAACCGGGAAAGGUCGUCGGAGACUGCAUAACUAGAGGACGGUAGAGGCGUGUGGAAUUCCGGGUGUAGUGGUGAAAUGCGUAGAGAUCCGGAGGAACACCAGUGGCGAAGGCGACACGCUGGGCCGUACCUGACACUGAGGCGCGAUAGCAUGGGGGAGCAAACAGG